UACGUAGGGUCCGAGCGUUGUCCGGAUUUAUUGGGCGUAAAGAGCUCGUAGGCGGCUCAGUAAGUCGGAUGUGAAAACUCGGGGCUCAACCCCGAGACGCCAUCCGAUACUGCUGUGGCUUGAAUCUGGUAGGGGAGAUCGGAAUUCCUGGUGUAGCGGUGAAAUGCGCAGAUAUCAGGAGGAACACCGGUGGCGAAGGCGGAUCUCUGGGCCAGUAUUGACGCUGAGGAGCGAAAGCGUGGGUAGCAAACAGGAUUAGAUACCCUGGUAGUCCACGCCGUAAACGUUGGGCACUAGGUGUGGGUCCCUAUCGACGGGAUCCGUGCCGUAGCUAACGCAUUAAGUGCCCCGCCUGGGGAGUACGGCCGCAAGGCUAAA
rnacentral:rRNA from 1 species